AUCCAAACGCAUUUUAUAUAUUAUCUAAUACUUAACUUUAAACACUUAUCAUGUAUCAUUAUCAAUUAUCAAUUUACUUAUUUCACUAUUACAAUCACAAUCCAAUAUAACACACUUAAGACAUCCUAGAUAUAUGCCAUUACCAAUAAUUAACAUGCUUUACCUUUUUGAGCUUCAGGAUCGACUUAUGAUGCUAAUUCGACGACCUGUCUUUAACCUAACCUGUGCACGAAAACAAACCGUACGCUGAGUAUGAAUUCAGUGAUAUUUCUAUAAACCGAUACUUAAGUCAAUAAUAAAUCAUAUAUCAAUGAACCUUGAGAAUUCAAUCUAUUACUCCUAAUAGUUCAAUCAUUUGUUUUUGAUAUAUAAUGCUAAGAUCAUGUUAAUCACUUUCGAUGAAAUGUAUACAGUUUCAAUGUUUAUUCAUUAUCCGUCGAUUUUUCAUAUUUAUUCAGUAAUAACCUGUGAUUAGUAUCAUUCAGACAUUCAGUAGCAGUCCAUUAUUCAGUAACAAUUAGUUUUUCAGUACUUUUAUUUACAAUUCAUUUGAGUAAUAAUAUUAUUCAGCUUUCAUUCAAUAUUCUGUACCAUCUCAUUUCAAUAACAGUCAAUAUUCAAUAGCAGACAGACUUUAAUACUUUUCAUUACCCCUAUUAACAUGACUCGGACCUAGACGGAUACACGGAUCCAACUCACACACCGAGGAUAGUAUACAGUGUUUCAUCAGCCGAAGCCAAAAUACACCGUAAGGGUAGCAAUAACAGUAACAGUAACAGUAGCGGUACACAAAGUACCUCAUCAGAACAAAUUUGGAACAGUAACAGUAACAGUCAAAUACGGAGUACCUCUUCGGAACGAAUCCGGAACAGUCAUAGUAGUCGACAUAUAUAGUGUCUCAUCGACACACAGUCAGAAUAUCCCUGAACACUUCCAAUCCUAUGACAUGCCAACUAUAUCCGACUAGCCUGAUACAAUUAAUAGGGUAUUCAAUAAACUUUCAAAUUUUCAAUUUUAUUUGUAAUUUAAUUUCAAUUCAAUUUAAUACAUUUUUCCAUAUCAAUCCACAUGCAAAUCAAUUUCAAUGCAAUAUACAUUUUUCAGUUUUCCACUCAAUAUUCACAUAUUCUAUUCAAUAUCAAUAAUCACUAAUAAUUCAUAAAUUUUUUAUUCAAUUCAAUAUCAUAAUAAUAAUACUUACCAUUCAUAUAAAUAAUAAAUUCAACAAAUAAUUAUUAGAUUUGGUUUAUAAAAAUACAAACCGUAGUUUUCAAGCUAACUCCUGUUGUCUUUGUCUUGUCCUUACUUAGUCGAGAUUUCCCGAGAUAACGUUAGCUACGAAAAUUAAAAUAAUUAUACCAUUAACUUUCAGCACUCAUUAUAACAAUUAAUUGAAUUUCUAUUCAAUUUACACCUUAUUUCCAAUUUAGGUCCUAACUAAUUCAUUCACUUUACUAACUUAAUUCAUUCUCCAUUUCUAUUCAAAUUCCAUCCAAACUCAAAUUUAAUUAUUAAAUUUUCACCUUAUCUCAUUAAUUUCGAAAUUUCCUCAAAUUAACCCCUACAACAUAAAACUUAUGAAUUACUUAACAAUUCAAUCCUUAUUUCAUUUCUAACUUGAAUUUCUAUCAAUUUAGCCCUUAAUUCAUCAUUUUAUUUAACAUAAACAAUAUUUAGAAAUCUAAUAAUUUUAAAAAUCUUAAUUUAAUUUCAUCAAAACUUUGUUCCAAAGCUUCUAAAACAUUAAAAUUAAGUAAAAAUGGCUAAAUUGACUUACCUAUUAAACUUCCAAGCUUCAAAAUCCCUAUUUUCCAUUUUUUCCUUUCUUUUUCUCCUUCCUUUCUUCUCUAUUUCUUUCUAUUCUUUUUCUUUUUCUUUUACUUUGUUCUAUUUUAUAUAUAAUAAUAAUAAUAAUAACUUACAUAAUAAGUAAAUAUACAUGUAUUUUACAAAUGUAGAUAUACUAAUAUUACACAUGUCACUAUACAUACCAUACAUUUGUCAACUUUUUAUUUAUUUUUCACAUAAAAAUCUUAUAAUAUAAUUAUUUAAUUAAUAAAUAUAUUUUAUAAAUAAUAAAUAUAUAUUAAUACUUAAAUACAAGCAUUACAAGUGUAUGUAUUUUUAUUAAUACACUUGUACCCAAUCAUUACCACACAUUUGUCUUACUUUUAUUUAUUUAUCAUAUAAUAUCAAUUUAAUAAUAAUAAAUACAUUAAUAUUUACUUAAAUAAUAAGCAAAUACAUACAUAUAUUACAAAUGUGUGUAUUAUAUUUAUUACACUUGUAGACACUUGGCACUCUUUUUGGCUUAUUUACUCAUUUAGUCCCUUCAAUUUUUUUAUUCUAUAAUUAAACUUUCACACUAUAUUCAAUUUAAUCCUUUUAUCCAAUUAUCCUUAAUUUAAGCUAAUUCACUUAAUUAAACUCUAAUUAAUCACUCAAUUAACUUCGUAAAUAUUUAUUACGAAUCCAUUUUUUAGAAACGGAGACCUGAAAAUAUACUUUUCCGGUAACGGUAAAAUUCAGGUCAUUACAUCAUUGAUGUGAAGAUAGAAUUAAAUUGGGAGAUGGAAAAGGAAGAGAUGUACUGGGAGCAGAGGGCGAGAUCGAAUUAGCUUAGCUAAGGGGACAGAAAUACGGCUUUCUUCCAUAGUCAAGCGUCCCAAAGAUGCAGAAUAAAUCGUAUCCGAGGGAUGGAGGAUAAAGAAGGUAUUCUCAAAACGGAAAGAAGAAGAUAUGGAAAUCAUAAUAAGGAGCUACUUUAUGAAGCUAUUCGAAUCUAAAGGAGUUGGUAAUACAAAUCACCUACUCUUAGGUUUUCGCUGCAGUAUUUCUGACAGUAUGGAUCAAAUGCUGGCUAAAGAUUAUAAAGAGGAGGAAAUUUUUGAAGCAAUAAAUAGUAUAGGGUCGACAAAAGCUUCUAGACUUGAUGGAUUUUCUGCAAUCUUCAUUGAAAAAUUUUGGCAUAUUAUAGGGAGGGAGGUAAGUGAUUUUUGCUUGGAAGUUCUUAAUAAAGGAAAAUCUCUUGAUCUUUUAAACCAUACGAAUAUCGUGCUAAUCCUAAAGAAUCCCACCCAAAAAGCCCAUCAGAAUUUAGACCAAUUAGCAUUUGCUCCGUCUUUUAUAAAAUAAUUUCAAAAUCUAUAGCAAACAGACUACAGAAAGUACUUGAUUUUUGCAUCGAUCCAGCUUAAAGCGCCUUUGUAUCGGGUGGAUUAAUUACAAAUAAUGUUCUUCUUGCAUAUGAAAUUCUACAAUCUAUGAAGAAUAAAAGGAUGGGGAAAAAAGGUCUGAUGGCUCUUAAGAUUGAUAUGAGCAAAGCCUAUGAUCGGGUGGAAUGGAAUUUCUUGGAACAAAUGAUGGCUAAAAUGGGAUUUUAUGAGUCUUGAAUUUAGCUUAUUAUGAGAUGCAUCAGUACGGUUUCGUAUUCAAUCAUUUUGAAUGGAAAGUCAGGGGAAGUGUUUCGUCCAGAGAGAGGCCUACAUCAAGGGGACCCUUUGAGUCCUUUUCUGUUCCUUAUAUACAGUGAGGGACUGUCUACAUUAUUAAGACUUGCAAGCGAGGAAGGAAUGCUGAAAGGAAUAAAGGCGAGUAGACGAGGCCCUCAGAUUACUCGCCUUCUUUUUGUAGAUGAUUGCGUGCUGUUUGGGGAAGCAAAUGAAAAAGGUGCAAAAACUUUUGGAAAGAUCUUAAAAGAGUACGAAGCCUGUUCGGGACAAUCCAUUAAUUAUGGAAAGUCAACAGUUUUCUUUAGCUCAAACACAACUGAAAUGAUUUGUUUAGCUAUCUCAAAUAAAUUGAGGGUGAAACGAACGAAUAACACAGAAAAAUAUCUGGGCUUGCCAAAUAUGGUGGGAAAGAGGAAAAGGUUAGCAUUCCAACACCUUAAAGAUCGAAUUAAAGCAAAAAUUAACUGUAGGAGUUCUCAAUUACUAUUGCAAGGGGAAAAGAAGUUUUCAUUAAAUCUGUGCUACAAGCAAUUCCAGCAUAUACAAUGGGAUGUUUUUUAUUACCGAAGUCAGUAUGCGUUGAUAUGGAACAAAUUAUAGCCAAGCAUUGGUGGUAAAAAGGGUUCGGGAGAAGGGGGAUACAUUGGUAGUCAUGGAAUAACUUAUGUGAAUUAAAUGAAUUCAGUGGUCUUGGUUAUUGUAAUUUUGCAAAUUUUAAUUUAGCCCUCUUCGCUAAGCAAGGAUGGCGAUUAAUUGAAAACCCCAAUUCUCUUUUAGCACAGAUGUUAAAGGCCAAAUAUUAUUUGAAUACUGAUUUUCUAAACUCAAAGCUAGGAAACUUACCUUCAUAUACUUGGAAAAUUAUAUGGGCUGCAAAAGGCCUUUUGCGGACUGGAUUAUGUUGGAGGGUGGGAAACGGCCGAAAUAUAAGUAUUGAAGAGGAUGUCUGGGCUCCGAAGGAUGAAAAUCUACAUAUUCAAAAAAUAGUAAGAAAUCAGAAUUUAUUGAAGGUAGCAGACCUAAUUGAUAGCAAUGCUAGAUCAUGGAAAACAGAGUUGAUUACAGAUACCUUUUCCGUAGAAGAUGCUCAGAGAAUACUCCAAAUCCCGCUUGCUCACUCCCGAUAGGACAACUUUAUGGCUUGGAGAGGCGAACCAACAGGCGAAUAUACAGUCCAAAGUGGGUACAGAUUACUCUUUCGAGGCAAUUCCAUCAAUAAUAAUAGAUACAAGCCAAAUGAAAACAGGAAAUGUUGCAAAAAAAUGUGGAAUAGUGACCUCCCCUCAAAAUUAAAAAUUAGAGCCUGGAGAGCCACUCUAAACUACCUUCCUACACUAUCAAAUCUACGCAUUAAAAGACUAGCUAAUGACGCCGUCUGCCCGAGAUGUCAGCAAGGUGUGGAGAAUAUGGAUCACGUCUUUCGAGAAUGCGCUACUUCAAGGGAAACAUGGAAUAGCUUAAAAUAUGACUGGCCUGAAAGAAUAGCAAAUCUGAAAUUUAUGGAAUGGUUUACUUGGAUCAUGCUAAGCAGCAGUACUGAUAUCUGUCGAUCAUUUCUAUGCACCAUUUGGGUUAUCUAGUCGGCUAGAAACAAAUGGAUUCACGAGGGUAAGAAAAUGUCAGGGACAGAGACGGCAAGAUUCAGCUUACAGUACUUACAAGAACUAAAUAACAUUAAAUGGGAAAAACUUGCCUUUAGCCCGAUAAGUGCAGAAUGGAGGCCUCCGAUUCAAGGUAUCUACAAAAUCAAUUUCGAUGCAGCAGUGGACCUUAAAACACAAAGGUCAUGUUCGGGACUCAUAGUCAGAGACUGGAAAGGGAAAAUCCUAGCCACAAAAACCAUAAAUCAUGAGAAUAUACCUUCGAGGUUUGCAGCCGAGUCUGUUGCAUGUUUACAGGCAGUUAUCUUAGGAAGGGAUCUAGGAUUAAAGUUUGUUGACAUUGAAGGGGAUUUUUUGACAGUGAUAAAAAAAGCUCAAACUAAGAGCAUAGACAAGUCGGUAAUCGGCGUAGACAUUCAAGACAUUCAAGAAAUGUGCAAGAUUUUCUAUGAAAGUAAGUUCAUUUAUGUACGAAGAAAAGCAAACGAACAAGCGCAUGAUCCGGUAUCAAAAGGCUUAAAAAUGGUAGAAAAGACUUACAUUAUUCACAGACCAGUUGCUGAGGGCGUCACAGAGGUAGAAAUUGAUCGAGGAUGGGGGUGAAGAAUUCCAACAGGUGGAUGAUUUAGAGAAGGAACCCUAAUGAAUACCAGUCUUUUGUCCUUCUCCAAGAGCUGUAAAUGAAAAUGAAGAUAUUUUAAGAAGAUUUUUAGGAAAUAACAGCUCAUUAAUGUUGGGUUGUCUUUUCAUGUCUUUUAUUAUUUUUGUUUUGCAAAGAGUGGCAGGCCCUUCG
rnacentral:lncRNA from 1 species